AUUGAACGCUGGCGGCAUGCCUUACACAUGCAAGUCGAACGGUAACAGGUUAAGCUGACGAGUGGCGAACGGGUGAGUAAUGUAUCGGAACGUGCCCAGUCGUGGGGGAUAACUGCUCGAAAGAGCGGCUAAUACCGCAUACGACCUGAGGGUGAAAGCGGGGGAUCGCAAGACCUCGCGCGAUUGGAGCGGCCGAUAUCAGAUUAGGUAGUUGGUGAGGUAAAGGCUCACCAAGCCGACGAUCUGUAGCUGGUCUGAGAGGACCACCAGCCACACUGGGACUGAGACACGGCCCAGACUCCUACGGGAGGCAGCAGUGGGGAAUUUUGGACAAUGGGCGCAAGCCUGAUCCAGCCAUGCCGCGUGCGGGAAGAAGGCCUUCGGGUUGUAAACCGCUUUUGUCAGGGAAGAAAAGGUUCUGGCUAAUACCUGGGACUCAUGACGGUACCUGAAGAAUAAGCACCGGCUAACUACGUG
rnacentral:rRNA from 1 species